rnacentral:rRNA from 1 species
UACGUAGGGUGCAAGCGUUGUCCGGAAUUAUUGGGCGUAAAGAGCUCGUAGGCGGUCUGUCGCGUCGGCUGUGAAAACCUGGGGCUUAACUCCGGGCCUGCAGCCGAUACGGGCAGACUAGAGUUCGGCAGGGGAGACUGGAAUUCCUGGUGUAGCGGUGAAAUGCGCAGAUAUCAGGAGGAACACCGGUGGCGAAGGCGGGUCUCUGGGCCGUAACUGACGCUGAGGAGCGAAAGCGUGGGGAGCGAACAGG